rnacentral:rRNA from 1 species
GACGAACGCUGGCGGCGUGCUUAACACAUGCAAGUCGAACGAAGUGGCGAACGGGUGAGUAACGCGUAAUCAACCUGCCCUUCAGAGGGGGAACACAGUUGGAAACGACUGCUAAUACCGCAUACUGAAGGAGGGGAUGGCGUCUGAUUAGCUAGUGGGAGGGGUAAAGGCCUACCAAGGCGAUGAUCAGUAGCCGGGUUGAGAGGAUGAACGGCAACAGUGGGACUGCGACACGGCCCAGACUCCUACGGUAGGCAGCAGUGGGGAAUCUGCCGCAAUGGACGAAAGUCUGACGGAGCAACGCCGCGUGAGUGAUGACGGCCUUCGGGUUGUAAAGCUCUGUUAAUCGGGACGCGGUACCGGAAUAGAAAGCCACGGCUAACUACGUGCCAGCCGCCGCGGUAAUAC